CACGUAGUUAGCCGUCCCUUUCUGGUAAGCUACCGUCACAGUGUGAACUUUCCACUCUCACACCCGUUCUUGACUUACAACAGAGCUUUACGAUCCGAAAACCUUCUUCACUCACGCGGUGUUGCUCGGUCAGGGUUGCCCCCAUUGCCGAAGAUUCCCUACUGCUGCCUCCCGUAGGAGUCUGGGCCGUGUCUCAGUCCCAGUGUGGCCGAUCACCCUCUCAGGUCGGCUAUGUAUCGUCGCCUAGGUGAGCCAUUACCUCACCUACUAGCUAAUACAACGCAGGUCCAUCUUGUAGUGGAGCAAUUGCCCCUUUCAAAUAAAUGACAUGUGUCAUCCAUUGUUAUGCGGUAUUAGCUAUCGUUUCCAAUAGUUAUCCCCCGCUACAAGGCAGGUUACCUACGCGUUACUCACCCGUUCGCAACUCAUCCAAGAAGAGCAAGCUCCUCUCUUCAGCGUUCUACUUGCAUGUAUUAGGCACGCCGCCAGCGUG
rnacentral:rRNA from 1 species